AUCUUUAAAAAAGAAUUAAAUGGGGAUGGGAGGAGGAACUGGGAGGGAGGGGGAAACUUUGGGAGGAUAUUAAAAAAACAAAACCAGAGAAUUAAGUAGGUACCGAAGAGACGCACAGCAGCUAAGAGCACUUGCUGCUCUUGCAGAAGCUCUGGGUUCCAUUCCCACAACCACCCAUAACUCCAGUUCAAGGGGCACCAAGCAUGCAUGCACAUGGUGCACAUGCAUACAAGCAGGGAAAAUACAAAUAAACAUGAACUAAAAUAAAAUGAGCCUUUAGGCUUAUGGUGCAAAGCCAGGUGUGGUAGCAUGGCCCUUUAAUACCAGCACUCAGAAGCAGGUAGAUCUCUGAAAGUUUGAGACCUUAUGCUGAAAAACUGAAGAGACCAUAGGACUCAGGAUGAGUAAACAGGUCUCAAACCACUGCUGCCUGUACCCAAGCAGGCUUUCCAAGCCUCACUCCUCACCUGUAGGACAGACCACGGUCUGCAGGAUCCUUUAUGGGGCUGCAUGAGGCUCAUGGAAAAGGCUUCCAGUGUGGCUGGAAAAGAACAGGAAACAAAUGGUAACAUUAUUGUUCUUCUUGAAGCUAGAGCCGGUGUUGAGCAAGGCCUGGGUAAAAGGAGUGACAGGCAUGAGAGCAGGGUGACUUAUUAACCUUGAGCUGUGGGCUUUGUGAGCAGUGAGCAACAAUCCAGCAAUCCGUUGAGUAGCACGGGCCUUGCUGAGCCUCCAGGCUGGGGCUGCCUAUGGGUGGGGUGUUUAUUCUGGAAGUGGUCCUGGUGGUUCCUUACAGCCUUCUCCAGGAGAAAAAGCAGGCCUAGAGUGGGAAUUAAGGCCCACCCUGGGCCUGGCUAUACAGUGCAGUGGCCCCUGCCUACAGGGCCAAGGGGAAAAUGUCCAGGACACACACUCCUAAAACCCGGCGAGGUCUGGCAGUUUGAGGACACACUGGAAGAUCCGUCCUACAGAGCCUCAAGUGCUCAUGUUUCCGAAGUUGGGACUAGGCCCUGGAUGCUCCGGGGGAAGAAUAACACUGCAAGUGGGGAUAUCCAUACGGGCAACUCCACCCUUAGAAAAGUCCCUGCCUGGAUUCUUUCGGCAGUCUGGCUUCGCAGACGUGCAGCCCUGCAGUUUCACUGAACUGGCACACUGAAGUGACAGAGCGGUUGGAAUGUCUGGCUGUCCCCGGGGCCUGCAUUUUAUUUUGCCUAAGAAGUCUGUCCUGUGUUGGAACUUUGGUUUCCCUGGGACUUAGCUUCUCCCUCACAUGUCGAAAGCCCCAGCUGCUGAAGGGCGCGGCAGAAGACCAGCCACCUGGAAGGUCCGCUGUGUCAUCCCAUCAAAUCCCAGUUCUUGAGUUUGUGUCCUAACACUGUACAUCAGUGAAAUAGUGGAGAAGUUGUUAAAUGUAAAUUUUGACUCCUUGUUGGGAGGUUUAAAAGGUAGUCCAUAUAGAGGGCCCAGAAACACCUGCUCAGAAAAUCCGAACUAUCAUAUUCUCCUUUUGAAGCAUGUGGCCAAAGGUCUAGCUCAGUUGAAGAAUGCUUGCCUAGCGUGCUUGAGGUGCUGGGUUUGCAACCCAUCCACUGAAAAAAAGAAAAAAAUCUAUUUACAGGCACCAAGAAGGAGCUAGCAGCGGGUCCCCCCUCAUUUCUACCGACCUUUCCCAGGGGAGAGGAGCAGUCCUUCCCCUGGCCUCUGCUCCUUCCCUCGCAGGGAGGAGACCCCACAGACACACCCUGGGGCAGGGAGGAGCGGCCGCGACACAUUUUUGAGUCGUGACCAAGUGGAAACUCCCUCCCCAAAGCGGAAGCCGGGGGCGCCCCACUGGGGCCUGAGCCUCCGCCGGGGCGGGAUCCCAGGCCGGGGGGCGGGGCGCUGCGGGCGAGCUGGGCCCCGCCCCCACACUUCAUGAAUAUGAUGACUAUGAAUGAGGCGACUGGGGGCGGAAGUGCGAGCGGACCCCAGCUCUGCCCACGCCGCGGGAGCCGUGCGGCUGGAGGCGUGGCUAGCCUGGGACGCCCCGCCCCUCCCGCUGUGCGGGGCCUCCUUCCGGCCGGGCGCGCCCGAGAGGUGACCUCGCGGGUGUGCUCCACUGCCUAGCGCGGGGAGGAGCUCGCGGCCGCCGGUAGGAGUGGCGGAGCUUUGUCCCGCUAUCCGUGGUUCCCCCAAGUCUCCGGAGUCAGGCUUGCAGGAGAGGCCGUAGACAUUCCUUUACCGGCGUAAAAACUAGAACAGCCUGUCUUCCUGGGGCUUUUAGUUCCAGUUGCAAUGAAACACCCAACAAAGUCGAACCUGUAGGCUGUCUAUGAGUACAAGGAAUAGACAUAAAAUGGAGAAAGUAGCGGAGAAGAUGACUUAAGACCUGAAGGAAGGGGCUUAGAGAUGUAGCUCAGUGGUCAAGUACCCAGCACCACAUAAAACCGGACUUGGCAGUGCAUACCAGAAAUCCCGUCACUCUAGAAGGUGGAGGCAGGAGCAUCAAGAUUCAAGGCAAAAUGGAGUCUGAAGUCAAAAUGGCAGUACUUAGGCCAAGGUGCUUUUGCCUGCUCCCUUCAAGACCAGACCAGUUGCCUGAGAGAAGCAGAAACCAGUCUAACAGCCUGGAAGGGGCUUAGACCAAAACCACUCAGAAAGGACGCUCUCCAAGCUGUUGAACUGUCUGCAGGCUGUGCAGCGUGCUCUGGGUUUCCCGGAUGCUGUGAGCUGGGGCCUUGAAGCAAAAGGAUGACCUUGAAUUUCUGAUUUUCCUGCCUCCACCUUUGGAGUGCUGGCACAAAAGGCAUUGGUUUGUGUGGUACUAGAGAUCAAACCCAGGGCUUCAUGCAUGCUAGGUAAGCACUGUCCUGAGGUACAUCCCAAGACCUAAUUUUUUUUUUUU